AAUCGUGCAGAGAUGGAGAGGAGUAUCUGUUAUCGCCUAUUUUAAGCGAGUCCAGGUUGGUGUAAGCUGGAUAAUAGGGGUACAGAGAAAGGCGCUCCGGAGCAUUUUUAUAAAGUGGCUCAAACGUUUGAGCAAAUAGGGUGGAACCGCGGUGAAAGCCGUCCCUAUG
rfam:Bacilli bacterium VT-13-104 contig005, whole genome shotgun sequence.